rnacentral:rRNA from 1 species
CCUACGGGAGGCUGCAGUGGGGAAUCUUGCGCAAUGGGCGAAAGCCUGACGCAGCAACGCCGCGUGCGGGAAGAAGGCCUUCGGGUUGUAAACCGCUUUCAGCAGGAACGAAACUGACGGUACUUUCAGAAGAAGGUGCGGCCAACUACGUGCCAGCAGCCGCGGUGACACGUAGGCACCAAGCGUUGUCCGGAUUUAUUGGGCGUAAAGAGCUCGUAGGCGGUUCGGUAAGUCGGGUGUGAAAACUUUGGGCUCAACCCAAAGCGUGCACUCGAUACUGCCGUGACUAGAGUUCGGUAGGGGAGUGGGGAAUUCCUAGUGUAGCGGUGAAAUGCGCAGAUAUUAGGAGGAACACCGGUGGCGAAGGCGCCACUCUGGGCCGAAACUGACGCUGAGGAGCGAAAGCGUGGGUAGCAAACAGGCUUAGAUACCCGUGUAGUC